UACGUAGGGUGCAAGCGUUGUCCGGAAUUAUUGGGCGUAAAGAGCUUGUAGGCGGUUUGUCGCGUCUGCUGUGAAAUUUCGGGGCUCAACCCCGAACUUGCAGUGGGUACGGGCAGACUAGAGUGUGGUAGGGGAGACUGGAAUUCCUGGUGUAGCGGUGAAAUGCGCAGAUAUCAGGAGGAACACCGAUGGCGAAGGCAGGUCUCUGGGCCACAACUGACGCUGAGGAGCGAAAGCAUGGGGAGCGAACAGG
rnacentral:rRNA from 1 species